CUAUCCCCAUUUUGUUGUGAUGCUUCGCGUGGAGAAUGACGUAGCAUGCUACGCG
rnacentral:misc_RNA from 1 species